rnacentral:rRNA from 1 species
CGAACCGUACGAACGUUAUUCGGAAUCACUGGGCUUAAAGGGUGCGUAGGCGGCGCAGAAAGUUGGGUGUGAAAUCCCUCGGCUUAACCGAGGAAUUGCGCCCAAAACUACUGUGCUCGAGGGAGGUAGAGGUGAGCGGAACUUAGGGUGGAGCGGUGAAAUGCGUUGAUAUCCUAAGGAACACCGGUGGCGAAAGCGGCUCACUGGACCUCUUCUGACGCUGAGGCACGAAAGCUAGGGUAGCAAACGGGAUUAGAUACCCCGGUAGUCCUAGCCGUAAACGAUGAGCACUGGAUCGAAGGGUCCUCCAUAGCCUUUCGGUCGCAGCGAAAGUAUUAAGUGCUCCGCCUGGGGAGUAUGGUCGCAAGGCUG